UUUCCGUAGGUGAACCUGCGGAAGGAUCAUUAACAAUCCAUACCUUACUCUUUGGUCAGGCUCGCCUGUCAAAGUUUUAAACCACUUGUGAAAAACAAACCUUUUUGCUUCGGCAGCUGGUUGGGCCCUAACCAGCCUAACCGUCAGCCUGCCGGCAGCACCAAACCAAACCUUUAUGUUUAUUAUGUCUGAAAAUAAAUUUUGAAUUAAAUCAAAACUUUCAACAACGGAUCUCUUGGUUCUCGCAUCGAUGAAGAACGCAGC
rnacentral:misc_RNA from 1 species